GCGUUGGAACCCGGGACGUGGGAUGUGUCAUUUGUGCUGGGUGCGCACAGCGGGGCAAGGCUUUUGUGCGCGUUCGGGUCGGCGUCAAGUCGUUGGCUGGUGGCGGUCGCUUGCGACACGUACCGCUCAGCGGUUUGGCACGGCUCGAGUGCACGGCCCCGUGUUCUCGGUGUAAAAGCCGGUCAUCUAUCCGACCCGUCUUGAAACACGGACCAAGGAGUUUAGCGUGUGCGCGAGUCAUUGGGCGUUGAAAACCCAAAGGCGCAAUGAAAGUGAAGGCACCCGCAAGGGGCUGACGUGUGAUCGCGGUGCACUUGUGCACUGCGAGCAACAUGGUCCCGUUCCGACCGCUUGCGGUGGGGCGGCGACAGAGCGAACGCGCUGAGACCCGAAAGAUGGUGAACUAUUCCUGAGCAGGAUGAAGCCAGGGGAAACUC
rnacentral:rRNA from 1 species